CCUACGGGUGGCAGCAGUGAGGAAUAUUGGUCAAUGGACGAGAGUCUGAACCAGCCACGUAGCGUGAAGGAUGACUGCCCUAUGGGUUGUAAACUUCUUAUAUAUGGGAAUAACAUGUUCCACGUGUGGGAUUUUGUAUGUACCAUAUGCAUACGGAUCGGCUAACUCCGUGCCAGCAGCCGCGGUAAUACGGAGGAUCCGAGCGUUAUCCGGAGUUUUUGGGUUUAAAGGGAGCGUAGAUGGAUUGGUAAGUCAGUUGUGAAAGUUUGCGGCGCAACCGUGAAAUUGCAGUUGAAACUGGCAGUCGUGAGUACAGUAGAGGUGAGCGGAAUUCGUGGUGUAGCGGUGAAAUGCUUAGAUAUCACGAAGAACACC
rnacentral:rRNA from 1 species